rnacentral:rRNA from 14 species
ACAUGCUUAGGAUGUUGACAUAAUGGCUUUAAACGACCCGUCUUGUAACACGGACCAAGGAGUCUAACAUCUAUGCGAGUGUUCGGGUGUCAAACCCCUACGCGGAAUGAAA